rnacentral:rRNA from 1 species
UACGAAGGGUGCAAACGUUGCUCGGAAUUAUUGGGCGUAAAGCGCACGUAGGCGGCUUGGCAAGUCGGAUGUGAAAUCCCUCGGCUCAACCAAGGAAGUGCAUCCGAAACUGCUGAGCUUGAGUACUUAAGAGGAUCGCGGAAUUCCCGGUGUAGAGGUGAAAUGCGUAGAUAUCUGGAGGAACACCGGUGGCGAAGGCGGCAUCCUGGACCAAUACUGACACUGAGGAGCGAAAGCCAGGGGAGCAAACGGG